rnacentral:rRNA from 1 species
UACGGAGGUGGCAAGCGUUGUUCGGAAUUACUGGGCGUAAAGGGUGCGUAGGUGGGUCUGUAAGUCAGUGGUGAAAUCUCCGAGCUUAACUCGGAAACUGCCAUUGAUACUAUAGGUCUUGAAUUAUCUGGAGGUAAGCGGAAUAUGUCAUGUAGCGGUGAAAUGCUUAGAUAUGACAUAGAACACCAAUUGCGAAGGCAGCUUACUACGGAUCGAUUGACACUGAGGCACGAAAGCGUGGGGAUCAAACAGG